AACCACCGCCAGCCAGGAGAUUCACAGAACACCAGGACUGAAACAUCCUCGAGUCUUGGUGCUUGAAUAAGAAAUUGGGUCGGAUCUGCAGAAAAGCCGGCAAAUCAAAAAAGUCCUUCAGUCGCAAGGAAGCUGAAGCUACCUUUAAGAGUUUGGUGAAGACUCAUGAGAAAUAUGGCUGGGUCACCCCGCCCGUCUCUGAUGGCUGAUGUUGGCCGCGUGCAUUAGACGCUUGAGCGCCUGUCCACACACACACACCAGUACCCCGCCAUCUCCUCCUGACGCUCCGCAUCCUCCAUCCUUUUCACUCCAGCCAGAACUGCAUCCUGAAUGCCAAGGAGACGUUAAGUUAUUUAUCAACAGACGUGUUUACAGACAGAAAGAGGGAUUGUGUGUCAAUGAUGAACGAAGGAUCACCUCUGAGUCACUUUAGAACACGGGUCGAGAUGGUGACAUCUCCCAGCCCGCCUGCCCCUCCGCCCGCCCCAGUCACAUUGCCCUUAGCUUCUUCCCAUGACAGCAGCUCCAGUGAGCUGGCAGGAAACUCAGUGGCCCAGCUCGCUCCAUUUCCAUGUCAACGGCACUGUUCACACUGAACUGGGGAAGCAUGCAUCGCCGGCACAUGUCUGCUGUGCUCUGUAUCUCUGUUUCUCCUCUGGGCAGGUCGACAUAACUUGAAGAUGUGUCUUUCUGUGGCCCAUGGUCCACUGUGAUGACAUUUAGACCUCAUUUGUGCUAAGACCCUUGGCUCAUGAAACACAGAUCUCACGUUGCCAGGUUCUAGUGAUUUCAGACAACAACUGCCCACUGGAUUAAAAACGUGCUGUCGAUGCUGAUUUGUGGUGUGCUGCUGUCUACGGAGAAACCAGUGCCGUGCGAUGGAAAGCAGAGGGGUGCCGCCCGGGGCUGGCAGUGGUGCGGACACCACCAGGUGUAGCCCCUGGGGCUCAGAGCGACGGACGGGCCGGCCGGCUGCGAACAGUCUCGUCCGACGCUAGGAACUGCUCCGACCACAGUGCAUUUGUGUUCCCGUCUUCUCUCAACCACCAAAAGCUAAAGACAAUUUCCCAUUCACUGCGGUCAUCUGACUCAUUUUAUUAUCUGUGCUAGUGACAGGGAAUGUCAGAACUGCCAAAGGAUGCCAAGUGAUCGUAUGAUGAUUUGCAUGACCGGGUCUAUUUCUUCACCUAAUUGUCACUUGUGUGUCCCCCGGGGUUGGGAUGCGUGAGCGCCCUCGCUGUGGUGUAAACUUCCUGUUAUUUAAUCUCCCCACAGUUUCAUUUUUCUCUUCUGUUACUUAGAACUUUCUAAGAAACUCCAUGAAAUGAGGAAAUACUGUUUAUAAUACUAUGCGGAAAGAGGUAAAAAUGUUCAUUCCAAGUGGAAAAUCUUAUUGGACGCAUUUUAAAUAAAAUCAUGCAUACCUGACA